rnacentral:lncRNA from 1 species
GCGCCCGCGGGGUAGGAGACCUGGAGCUGGAGAACCCGCCCGCCAGAGUCGUAGUAGUGGAUGGGGAGUAGCCGUCCCAUUUUCAACACAUGUCUCAUUCUAAAUUGACGUUUUGGUGGGCUGGCCGAAGAAGGAGAAAGACCCGCGGCUCCGACCUCUGACCUCUAACCCCGGACGCACUUUGAUUUCGCCGGCUUGCGCGGAAGGCUGACUCCCUGGGCCGCGGCCUGGCGCGGGAGCCGCCUGUGGGGUGUCCCCGGCGCGGGAGGGUGCUCUGGUUCAGGCCCGCUGCCCAGGUAUGCACAAGUCAAGGCCUUUUCUGCAGACCAAGUAGCCUUCCCUGGAGAGCGCCCCCAGCACCACGGAAACUACCUACAUGCCCCGCGGUGGUCAGCCCGCCUUAUCCCAGCCCCGAGACCCAAAACAAGAAGCAUGGACUGAAUUUGAGGUUUCUGGAUGGUCGUGUGAACCGAGGGGACGGGUACUGGACUGACAAGAAAUGAGCCUUGAAGGUCAAUCUGGGUGACACCCGAGUCUCCUGAUGGAGUUUCACUAUGUUGCCCAGGCUGAUCUGGAACUCCUGACCUCAAGCAAUCCACCUGCCUCAGCCUCCCAAAGUACUGGGAUUACAGGAGGGAGCCACCGUGCCCGGCCUGGUCCUGUGCAUUUUAUAGAUAAGGUAACUGACAAACCUAGCCACAGUCACCCCUUCGCCCUAAAGGAGAACUGGAAUUUGAACCCAGAGCCUUCUUCACCACCAUCUCCGUUGUUUCUGGAAGCACCCUCCAGGCAGGCCAGCCAGCAUCACGGGGCCUCCCCUGGGGCUGGAACGUCUGCAGGAUGCCCCUUUGAGAAAUGCUGUUCCACAGAACCCUGCCUUUCAGGCCUUGGAGACGUGGGCAGGGGAGAAGCAGCGUCCCUCAGAGCCAGGCCUGGCAGUGGUGCUAGCAGGGGCCAAGGCCCAGGGAGCAGGGUCUCCUGUCGGAGGGACCUGGGCAAGCCCCUCCACGCGCCAGCGGGUUUCUCAGCAGGGGAGGUCCACACCACACCGCUUGGGAACCUGGGUGCCUAAACGCAACAGGAGCCAAGGCACAAAUUUAACCAAACACCAAGGUUGCGUGAGGCCCCAUUUCAUGAGCCGGGCUCCAAGGACGUGUCCUUAGGCGGCUCUGGAAGGCCCAGCGCCAGCCCCCGUCCUCUGUUAAAGGGAGCCAGCCCCGCGGCUCCGCCCAGGCAUGGUAGCCUGAGCGCGCCCCCAGGGUAGUAGGGGGCACCUGAGGAGCAGGGUCUGCCCUGGCAUGAGCAGAGCCCAGGAUGGGGUCAGGGUCAGGCCCUGCCAGAGGCUGGAGGGUGCCCAAGGCGAGGCCGGUGAGGCCCAGCUCUACAAAUAAAGUGUUUUAUUUACAGGA